AUUGAACGCUGGCGGCAGGCCUAACACAUGCAAGUCGAGCGAGCGGCGGACGGGUGAGUAAUGUAUGGGGACUGCCCGAUAGAGGGGGAUAACUACUGGAAACGGUAGCUAAUACCGCAUACUAUCGGAUAACCCAUAUGGGAUUAGCUAGUUGGUGAGGUAAUGGCUCACCAAGGCGACGAUCCCUAGCUGGUCUGAGAGGAUGAUCAGCCACACUGGGACUGAGACACGGCCCAGACUCCUACGGAGGCAGCAGUGGGGAAUAUUGCACAAUGGGCGCAAGCCUGAUGCAGCCAUGCCGCGUGUAUGAAGAAGGCCUUAGGGUUGUAAAGUACUUUCAGCGGGGAGGCGUUACCCGCAGAAGAAGCACCGGCUAACUCCGUGCCAGCAGCCGCGGUAAUUC
rnacentral:rRNA from 1 species